UGAGCCUUCACAGCAGACACUUCUCUUGAUCCUGCAUCAAUCAGCUGCUGAGUCCAAAGAGCUGUCUUUCACUCCUGUAAUUGCAGCCUUUCCCUGUGAGCUCUGAUUGGCCACUCUCAGGAGGUCUGACUGGCUCUCCAUCCUUAGACUUCCCCAUCCACAGCAAUGAAUGCACUACCUGAAAAGAAGGAUCAGCUUCAGAUGCCAUUGAUGAAGAACCUUGGAGAAGGUUGUGAUUAAAAAGCCAGAUACCGAACUUUCUGAAUUUUCCCAGUAUGCCUCUGGAACCCCCAG